rnacentral:rRNA from 1 species
UUAAGCGUGACGUGAAAUGUAGAUGCUCAACAUGUGAACUGCGUCGCGAACUGGGUUUCUUGAGUGAGUACGACGUGGACGGAAUUCGUGGUGUAGCGGUGAAAUGCUUAGAUAUCACGAAGAACCCCGAUUGCGAAGGCAGUCCACGAGUCCUUUACUGACGCUAAUGCUCGAAGGUGCGGGUAUCGAACAGGAUUAGAUACCCUGGUAGUCCGCACGGUAAACGAUGGAUGCCCGCUGUAUGCGAUAUACUGUAUGCGGCCAAGCGAAAGCGUUAAGCAUCCCACCUGGGGAGUACGCCGGCAACGGUGAAACUCAAAGGAAUUGACGG